GCGAAGGUGGCGGAAUUGGUAGACGCGCUAGCUUCAGGUGUUAGUGUCCUUACGGACGUGGGGGUUCAAGUCCCCCCCCUCGGCACCA
rnacentral:tRNA from 1 species